AUGUUAGAAUUGGUCGGUCCGGGGUCCAAGUUGGUGCAACAAUUUAAACACCAGCAUACACGGAAGUGCAGACAUAUGUCGCCGUGGAAACGAGCGGGUGCCCGGGAAAGUGUUAUCAAUUCUCAUGUCUACGGCAUCUCAAAAAAAAAAACUCAUGUCCAUGGAUCUUUUCGCCUGGUCCAACUGACUAAAGGAGGGAGCAUCAAUAGGCAAAGCCCAUUAGAAACUGACACAGCUCGCUCUUGUCCAUUCCGAGGUGAGGAUCUCGACUCGUGGAACAUGAUGUUAGCCUUGAUUCCAUCGUCCCACCACACCAAGAUGCCCCCCUCCCUGCCGUUUGGGCUUUUCCUCCUCGUCUCCCUCCAUACGAGUCAAAUCAUAAGCUUAGGAAUUAACAUCCUACAAAUACUCCUUCGACUCUUCCUCUUCUCCCACUCUACAAAUAUACCCCUCCCUCUCUCUCACACACACACUCAUAGCUAG
rnacentral:rRNA from 1 species